rnacentral:lncRNA from 1 species
GCCCGCUCCUACGCCCUUGCUGUUGAUGCAGAAAAUUACACUGCAACCUUAGAGAAACAUAUGCUGCCUUGAAGAUCACAUCUUUUCCAGGGAUGUCCAGUCACUUUUGAAUUGAAUUUAUUUAUUAUUAAUUAUACUCUGUAGUGUACAGUGUACCUGGUGGGCUGUUGGUUAUAUCUCUCAGGUUACAGUGUUCUAUGGUGUGUAGUUGAUAAUAAUAGCUUUUGCAGUGGGUCUUACAAAGAAAACAAAUCCCACCUCCAAUCCAAUUGAAAUAGGAUUAUCCUACCUCCAGGAUCUUACUGAUUCACAUUACCUUCAGGAAAGGAGGAAAACACUGGAUGGCUUCCAAGCUGAAGUCAGCCAAGAUUUACACUGUGCUCCAUUUAUAGGUCAUACAGGCUGGGGGUCUGUGGUGGAGAGGAGGCUGAGUGACGGGGGGAGAUGGACGGGAGCUGGCCGCAGGAAGAAGAGCUGGUCGAGGGUCAGAGAUGCUCUGGCAGACGUCGGUCAGGUGUGGAUGGACUGUGGACAGAGGUAACCAGAUCAAUCUCAGGAGAGGAUGAUGGGACGGCAGAGGCCUCAGUGCUGGCAGCACUGCAGUGGAUACAUGAGUCUGAGGUAAACACAGUCUCAGAACACAGGUUGAAUGAAGUGGAAAAAAUACUGAAGAAUAUAAUCAGCAUGUCCCAUAAGGUAUGAAUAGAUGACCAUCCAAAGCAUAUAUACACAAAUAUACAUAAUACAUAAAUAACAAAUAAAAGUAGGC